rnacentral:lncRNA from 1 species
UCGUCAGCAGGCUCCGGAUUCCAUGGCUGACAAUCGGAGUCAUCUCCUCUGGUGGCUCCCUUGCCGAUCACAGAGCCCAACGAGAUCGACCUCGAAGCUGGCCUGCCGAUCAAAUUCAGUGUCGAAUUUGCCUCGAAACUGACGGUACUCAACUCCGAUACUCUUUAAUUCCAAUUUUACUGCUCCGAUUUUUCUAAAUUCUCCUUUCUCUUAUUUCCCGAUAAUUUUCUAGCAUUUUUCCUGUUUGUGUGCCCAGACAGUAGCCGAAAUUUGAAAUGUUCAAGUAACGAAAGUUAUUACUAUGGUGUAGGAUUUCUAGUUUCUUAGAGGGUUAAGUAAAACAAACAUAGAGAGAAGCUCUUCUCCCUCUGUAUAUUCUCAUCUCAUACAACUUUCUGGAAGCUGCUAAUUUUAGAAGUUGUAUCUCCAGAAUGAUGGAUUUUUUUUUCCUCUUUGAAAAGAGAAUUGUGGAUUUUCCAUUUCCUUCUUCCCCGCAAAAUUCAGUGCUGUGUGGUGUUGGCUCCAGACCUUGUUCGGCUGCGGAAAGAUUUCAGAUUGCUGAAAGGACAAGUUUAGUUCUAUAUUUGUGUUUGAUGUAGGACAAAUAAGGUUGAUUUGUCCAAUUAAGAAUUUGGUGAUAAAAAUCACACCUAGGGUUUAUUAGGCAUCGCAUCUAAGAAUUCUUAAGCAUUAUACUUAAGAGUUUGAUUGCAUUACAAAAUUAAAUUAAGAAACUCUCAAAAUAGUAUUGAAAAACCAAAUUUUCUCCCAAUAAAUGAAAUUAUGAAGAUAUUUAUAGUAAUUUUUAAGUAAAAUUUCUUAAAUAGAAUUAAAUUAAGAAAUAUUAAACUGGUAGAAUUAGGAAUAUUAGUCCUAAUACAAAUACAAAAUAUACUAAUAAGAACAAAAUCUUAAGUUACUGAAACUAUAAAAUUGCUCUUUAAUAAUAUAGAUUCCUAAAAUAUU